rnacentral:tRNA from 1 species
GGCUGUAGCUCAGUGGUAGAGCGCCUGCUUUUCACGUGUGAGGCACUGGGUUCCAUCCUCAGCACCA